rnacentral:sRNA from 1 species
GCUGGGCAUGGUGGUGCACACCUGUAAUCCCAGGCUCAGGAGGCUGAGGGAGGAGGAUCGCGAGUUCAAAGCCAGCUUCAGCAACUUAUCAGGGCCCUAAGCACUCGAUGAGACCCUGUCUCUA